UCCCAGCAUUCACGGUAAGAGGAAAGAAUUGACCCCUUCGGGUUGUCCUCUGACCUCCACAAAUUCCACAUACACACAUUUAAACAAACAAACAAAUAAAUGUUUUAAGGUGUAAAAAUUAAUGAAGUCAAACAAAGGUCUGGGAAUGUAGCUUGGCAUAAGACUGCUUCCUUAGCGACUCAAAGUUCAGGUUCCCCCUCCAUUUUAUCCUCACCACCCUCUCUGCUCUUACCACUUGAAAUCCAGAUGCAUAUGUUCAGAUGUGUGUGUAUGUAUUUCAGUGUGUGUAUACAUAUGUACAUGCAUAUGCGUGUGCAUAUCCAUAUGUAUUUACGUUAAUUUAUAUGAAAGAAAGCCAUUUUCCCAAAAAUAAAAUUAUAGACAAUUUGUUAAGCUCACGACCAUCUGCUGCUGGAUUUUGGCUUUGACUCGGGGCCCAGACCGAAUCAGCCCAAGUCUUGUCUCUGCAGACUAGAGAUGGAAAACCGAGGCUGAGACCCCAGGGAAGGCAGCUUUGAGGAAAAGUCGCCCUCAUGGCUGAGCCUGCUACUGCUUCCUGCCUUUUUCUUGGUUUCGCCUUCGUCUCCCCAGCUGUCACCAUGCAACUCUUCCUGAGUUCAGUGUCUGAAGAAAAAAAAAAAAAAGUCCGGUAUCUUGCAGGCAUCGAUAUUUCUGCAAGACGGCUCCAAAGUAAAUUCAUUUGUUUCUUCUCAGCUUCCCAAGUGCCAUUUAAUACCUUCAAUUUAUCACUCCCUCUGGCUCCCUGCUUGCGGAAGGGUGACAUCAUCAUCCACAACUGACAGCCAGGGUCUUUAACUUGGUGUCUAUCUGCCUGGGAGUGCUGUCUCCAGCCUGAGGCCCCACCGUCCCCUCUGCUCUUACCACUUCCAAAGGAUAAAGGGAGAAACUGGAUAAGAGAAUGCAUGCUAUAAUCCCAGCACUUGAAGAGGGGGAGGCAGGAAGGAUCCAGAGUUCAAAGUCCCUGGAUAUGGUGGCACAUGCCUUUAAUCCCAGCCCUAGGGAGGCAGGUACAAGCAGAGAUCUAUAGACCAGCCUGGUCUACAUAGCUAGUUUCAGCACAGCCUAGGCUACACAGAGAAACCUUGCCAAGAAAAAAAAAGAAUAUCCUUCUGACACCCAGAUGACAGCUGGAGGUAGCACGUACUACUGACCCACAGUCCAAGAGCCACACGGAUGAAAAGGGAAACUGAGAACUCAAAAUGUAAGUUUCUGUGGUCACAUAUAAGGACCUCUAGGCAGAGAAGCCCUCUGGGACCUCAUUGUAGACCUUCCCAUUUGUAGCCUUUGUUUAAGGGAAUUUCCAUAUCUCCUAGCAAAGAGGCUCCUUGGAAUCCAGCACAGAAUUCUGCUUAGAGUCUCCUUUUCCUUCAAAACAGUGUCUAACGUAUCCCAGCUUGGCCAGACGCACUGUAACUAUAAAGCUGAGAAUAAAUUUGAACUGCGGAUCCUUCUUGCAUGUGCUCAACUGGCCAGGAAGAAGGACGCUGCAACAGGAUCCUUCUGCACACGUUUAUUGGGAGAGCAUUGAUUGCAUAGGCGAAAGAAGAACCCCGAACAAGGAAAAUGAUGCUGCUUAUAUACCUCUCCAUGUAACGUGUCAGCUCCUGGUUAGCUGCUCACUCAUCACCCCACUACUACGCCCCGGGAUGGGCAGUGACUUGGCAUGAAUUUACUCUUGCACCUGCGCACAUUACUUGUUUACCAGUUAGGCACAGUGGAGGCUCGUGAUGGCGAUUGCUCACGGCUCUCCACAGAUCCUCUUACCUCUGAAUUACAGGUGUAUACUGUCACAUCUGUUCCAUGGGAUUCUGGGACUUUAGGUGCCUUGCAUUCUAGGCAAGUGCUCUAGCAAGCUGAACCCCAGUCCCCAAAUCAGUCACACUGUGUGCUCCCCAACAACUAGCUCUUUCUCAUCUCUGUACAGUCUUCUGUGUGCCCUCGACAACCACAGUAAGGGUCUAGCUUGGCUACACAGAAAGUUCGCUGGACAUGAGUACAGCCAUCUUGAACCACAACACUGACCCUCACCCCCGGCCUGUUUCUCCACCUAUUUCCCAGCACUAGACAGACAGACAGACAAAACCAUGGGGGUCGCACACUGGUGCUCUCAGACACUGAACUCAGGAAGAGUUGGAUGAUGGCAGCUGGGGGGAGGAAGGCGAAACCAAGAAUAUGUGUGGCAUCAUCUUUGAUGUGAGCUUGAGAUACACCAGACACAUUGUAGCCAAGAGGAAAGUCACUUCUGUCCAGAGCACAGUAGACACCCCUUUCUUCUGACCCAAAUGGAUCCAGUUAUCCCACUGCUACCCUUGACCAUGCUUCUGCUAGCUGCUCCCCAAUAAAUUGUUCUUUUCAACCAUGGAU
rnacentral:lncRNA from 1 species